GUCAAAGCCAAACGGUAAUUUUCAAUAGGAAAAUAGCUUAUGGUUUUGCAUAAUGAAAAACAGGAAAUAAGUUUUGGGUAUUGCACUUUGCUAACUCAAAAGCAGAUCAAUUGAUCAAAGUCCUCCCAAGGAACAAUCAGCUUCCAUACAAUCCUUACUCCUUAGAAUCUCUCUCAACAAACAAAAUAUUAUAUUGCAUUUUCAUCAGUUUCUAGUAUCAACAUUAAAGCAAACCAAACACAAACAUCAAAAG